rnacentral:tRNA from 1 species
GCAGUGGAGGCUUAGUGGUACAAUUUUCGUCUUCCAUGUGGGACACCCAGGUUCGAUUCCUGGCCAAUGCA